CACGUAGGGCGCAAGCGUUGUCCGGAAUUAUUGGGCGUAAAGAGCUCGUAGGUGGUCUGUUGCGUCCGCUGUGAAAUCUCAGGGCUUAACCUGAGCCUGCAGUGGAUACGGGCAGACUAGAGGUAGGUAGGGGAGAAUGGAAUUCCUGGUGUAGCGGUGAAAUGCGCAGAUAUCAGGAGGAACACCGGUGGCGAAGGCGGUUCUCUGGGCCUUACCUGACACUGAGGAGCGAAGCGUGGGGAGCGAACAGG
rnacentral:rRNA from 1 species